GCAGUCGAACGGUGAUGAGGGGCUUGCUCCUCUGAUCAGUGGCGAACGGGUGAGUAACACGUGAGUAACCUGCCCUUCACUCUGGGAUAACGCUGGGAAACCGGUGCUAAUGCUGGAUAUGACCUGCUCGGGCAUCCGAUGUGGGUGGAAAGAUUUAUUGGUGGAGGAUGGACUCGCGGCCUAUCAGCUUGUUGGUGAGGUAAUGGCUCACCAAGGCGACGACGGGUAGCCGGCCUGAGAGGGCGAUCGGCCACACUGGGACUGAGACACGGCCCAGACUCCUACGGGAGGCAGCAGUGGGGAAUAUUGCACAAUGGGCGAAAGCCUGAUGCAGCGACGCCGCGUGAGGGAUGAAGGCCUUCGGGUUGUAAACCUCUUUCAGCAGGGAAGAAGCGUCUGGGUUUUCUUGGGUGUGACGGUACCUGCAGAAGAAGCACCGGCUAACUACGUGCCAGCAGCCGCGGUAAUACGUAGGGUGCAAGCGUUGUCCGGAAUUAUUGGGCGUAAAGAGCUUGUAGGCGGUUUGUCGCGUCUGCUGUGAAAUUUCGGGGCUCAACCCCGAACUUGCAGUGGGUACGGGCAGACUAGAGUGUGGUAGGGGAGACUGGAAUUCCUGGUGUAGCGGUGAAAUGCGCAGAUAUCAGGAGGAACACCGAUGGCGAAGGCAGGUCUCUGGGCCACUACUGACGCUGAGAAGCGAAAGCAUGGGGAGCGAACAGGAUUAGAUACCCUGGUAGAAUCACUAGUGAAUUC
rnacentral:rRNA from 1 species